AAUUUUGGGCAUAAAAUUAAAAAAUAAUUUUAUAAGCUUUAUCCUUCGAUCAACAAUAGUAACUAGAUACACGGUCGGUGCAGAAAAUUCGUCUCGUCAAAUAACAGCUCACUUGAAAUGUGAGCUGUUAUUUUGUUUAGUUCACUUCAAACACAGCCAAUGUCAACCCGUCUCACAAUGCCGCAGUGUGUAUUCAAAAGUUGCAAAAGUAAUGCCCGAAAAAGCAAUUUAACGGCUGGAGUAUCUUACUUUCGCUUUACUAGCAAUCACGUGUGCAGAAUGGAUCUCGAUUGUCGCCAGAGAAACAAGACAUGACUUUUAUAAGCCAGCUAAGAUCUCCGCUGAUUAACACUGGACAUCUUUGCCUUCCGUGCUCACGGCUACUGAAACGUGGCCGAAACAUUGUAAUAAAAAUACCGCGCUUGAAACCGUUUAAACGUUGUUUUAUUAUGUGCACCGGUCGCGAAAACUUAAAAAUAUACUAUAAAAAUAUAUAUUACACAAAAACGUAACGCUAAUAAAAUAAGAAAUAAUGUAUAGAUACUAACAAACAUAAAUUUCCCAAAGAUAAAAAGUAAACAACUAAACUUUUGCUUUUAUUCAUUAAUAAAUUAUUUUAGUGUUCAACGCGACUCCCUUACCUCCUGUAGUAAACCGAAAACGAAAUUUCAAGAAGCAAAAAUAAAUAAAACAAAACGAUGUUAGUUCUCAGAGCAAUAAAGGGAAAAAGUACUUUAUUUGUUGUCGCUUAAGGUUGAUUUAACAUUAAAAGUUAUUUAACAUAUGUUUUUUUAUUUGUAAGUGACAGGAUUAAUUUAUUACUUUGCUCAUUUUAUGUGACGAAUGAUCGUAAGUAUUAGAUAAUGUUUUGGAGAUUUGUGACUUUAUUACAAAGUGCCAUAGUUGUAAUUAGUUUGAACUUAAAACUGUUUCAAAACUUUAUUCUCCGUUUGUUAGUAAAUGAAUGUAGCUAUUUAUGUGUAUAUUCACGCGGACAGCUUUUGCUUUAAUUUUGUACGUGUCCCUUUAUCUAGUUACUAUUGUUGAUCGAAGGCUUUAUCACUAGAAAUGACUGUACAAUUAGUAUUGUUACGCCGGUAAGAGUAACGUCAUCUAUCGCCGAAUAGUCGAACGAAUAUCGAAGGCUCUAGUAGCACCUAGAACGCUCUAGAAGUACAACACCAUCUAUUGUCAGAUAGUGGAAACAUAAUAGUAGAGAUGUAUGGAGUAUUCUCGAUAAUUCUAGGGAUGAGGUAUCAACUACAAAAUCGUUGCAAGGAUGGCACGCAGUCAGUCAGUAAUCGGAACUACUCGAAGCGAAACAGCGAACAGAUCAUCUGAAGCGAAGCGAAAAAGCGAAUAAGAGUUUUAAGGUGUUUGUUGUGUGUUUUAAGUGUUCUAAGUGUUGAAUACAAUUUUUUACUUGUA